rnacentral:pre_miRNA from 1 species
UGUGUACUCCCUCCGUUCCAAAAUACUUGACUUCCAUUUGUCCAAAAAUGGAUGUACCUAUAUACUAAAACAUGUCUAGAUACAUCUAUAUUUUGACAAAUAGAAGGCAUGUAUUGUGGAACGAAGGGAGUAGAAU